GACGAACGCUGGCGGCGUGCUUAACACAUGCAAGUCGAACGAGAGCGUAGAGAAAGCUUGCUUUUUCUACAAUCUAGUGGCAAACGGGUGAGUAACGCGUAAACAACCUGCCCUACGGAUGGGGACAACAGCUGGAAACGGCUGCUAAUACCGAAUACGUUCCGAAAGUCGCAUGACUAUCGGAAGAAAGGAUGGCCUCUAUUUAUAAGCUAUCGCCGGAGGAGGGGUUUGCGUCUGAUUAGCUAGUUGGAGGGGUAACGGCCCACCAAGGCGACGAUCAGUAGCCGGUCUGAGAGGAUGAACGGCCACAUUGGAACUGAGACACGGUCCAGACUCCUACGGGAGGCAGCAGUGGGGAAUCUUCCGCAAUGGGCGAAAGCCUGACGGAGCAACGCCGCGUGAGUGAAGACGGCCUUCGGGUUGUAAAGCUCUGUUAUACGGGACGAAUAAUCUUGUGGUUAAUACCCAUGAGAAGUGACGGUACUGUAAGAGAAAGCCACGGCUAACUACGUG
rnacentral:rRNA from 1 species